rnacentral:rRNA from 1 species
CACGUAGUUAGCCGUGGCUUUCUCAUAGGGUACCGUCAAUUGAUAGUCAUUUCCUCCUAUCACCUUUCUUCCCUUAUAACAGAAUUUUACAACCCGAAGGCCUUCUUCAUUCACGCGGCGUUGCUCGGUCAGGCUUUCGCCCAUUGCCGAAGAUUCCCUACUGCUGCCUCCCGUAGGAGUCUGGGCCGUGUCUCAGUCCCAGUGUGGCCGUUCACCCUCUCAGGUCGGCUACGCAUCGUCGCCUUGGUAGGCCUUUACCCCACCAACUAGCUAAUGCGCCGCAGGCUCAUCCAUCAGUGAUGCCAGGAGCAUCUUUAAACUUUCGUCCUAUCCGGUAUUAGCGAUCGUUUCCAAUCGUUGUCCCCGUCUGAUGGGCAGAUCACCUACGUGUUACUCACCCGUUCGCCGCUUCCCACCGAAGUGGUUCGCUCGACUUGCAUGUAUUAGGCACGCCGCCAGCGUUCAUCCUGAGCCAGGAUCAAACUCU